GACGAAGGAUGCAAGCGUUAUCCGGAUUCAUUGGGUUUAAAGGGUGCGUAGGCGGACUUGUAAGUCAGUGGUGAAAUCUCUCAGCUUAACUGAGAAACUGCCAUUGAUACUGCAGGUCUUGAGUACAGAUGAUGUUGGCGGAAUAUGACAUGUAGCGGUGAAAUGCAUAGAUAUGUCAUAGAACACCGAUUGCGAAGGCAGCUGACAAAACUGUAACUGACGCUGAGGCACGAAAGUGUGGGGAUCAAGCAGG
rnacentral:rRNA from 1 species